UACGUAGGGGGCAAGCGUUGUCCGGAAUCAUUGGGCGUAAAGCGCGUGUAGGCGGCCAGAAAAGUCCGCUGUGAAAACUCGAGGCUCAACUUCGAGCUGUCGGUGGAAACUUUCUGGCUAGAGUCCGGAAGAGGAGAAUGGAAUUCCUGGUGUAGCGGUGAAAUGCGCAGAUAUCAGGAGGAACACCGAUUGCGAAGGCAGCUCGCUGGAACGUUACUGACGCUGAGACGCGAAAGCGUGGGGAGCAAACAGG
rnacentral:rRNA from 1 species